GGUGCAGACCAUCCGGUGACAAGCUGCGCAUGCCCAGAAGGCACCACCCUGCUCAACCUCUUCGCGCCACAGGGAAGAAAUCGACAGCCUCAUGAAAUCUGAAUAAUAAUGCAAAAUAAAGCUGUGUUAAACCGCUGAAGUAACAGUUCAAGUUACUUACCCGUUAUUGGAGGACAUCUGCUGUCCCAAGACACUGACGGUGUUACAGCUAGAGACAGCAAGAACACGGUUACCUAUAGUCAAGAAAAAAAGGUGAAUAUUUUAUUGCCAAAAAGAUCUUCUCAGUGUUUGCAACUCUAGACAAGGGGUGACAUUGGUUACACGAACUUACCAAUAGUUUAAACAUGGUGGAGUGGUGAUGCGUCAAUUCGCGUUGUGGUCCUUCGAGCGUAUUUGGUCGUAUCGGUUCAAUUGUGGUUGACAAAA